GGGGAUAGCCCUCCAGAGAAGCCUAGACGGGUAAGGGGCAGGAGUGGAAAGAACUCUUGACGGGAGACGCAGGGGCUGCAUGUCCGGGAAGGGAGAGCAUAAGGAGAGAACAUUCCACAUGCAUUUCUGGUCAAAUAGUUUUUUUUUUGAGGCGAUCAACCGGUAUCAACUCCACAUCCAGGGAAAAAAUAUUAAUACAUUUUUUAUAUGUUUUAGGUCAGACCUUUUUUAAUUUUUACGGUUCUGUCCCCAGUUUGAACUUCUCGGCCAGUGAUUCCUUCCACCCAAAUUGGAUUCCCCUGUUAGGAUCACCAACCCGGUGCGUCGCCACCAUGAGUUCAGACAACUCCUCCCUGGCUGGGGGUCUCGUGUACGGGCACCUGCCCUGCGACGGCUGGACCAAUAACACGGAGGGUGCCAUCUUUCAGCUAGGCAACACCAUCCUGCUGCUGGGCUAUAUGGGAGGCAGCGGGCCCCACGGCUGCCUCUUCAUCUUUGGCUUCAUGGUGCCCUCCUUCCUGUGCAUGCAGCUUUGGGGCUGGAUGACCGUGUGCGGUGCGGAUGUGUUCACCUGGAACCUGCUGCUCGUGCUGGCCUGCCUGGCUCAAAUCUGCCACCUCAUCUACCGGCUGCGGAAGCAGGGUCUAGCCAGCGAGGAGCUCUGCAGCCUGUACCAGGCCGUGUAUCUGCCCCUGGGCGUGCCUGUGCAGGUCUUCCAGGAGGUGUCUGGGGCCUUCGACAACAGGGUGCUGGAGCUGAAAGCUGGGGACACGUACUCUCUGGAAGGAAAGACGCCCAUCGAUCAGCUCUCCCUUCUUCUUUCUGGGAGGAUUUGUGUGACUCUGGAGGGUCAGUUCCUCCACUAUAUCCACCGCCACCAGUUCCUGGACUCCCCAGAGUGGGAGUCCCUCCGACCCACUGAAGAGGGAAACUUCCAGGUGACCCUGACGGCGGAGGAGGACUGCCGCUACGUGUCAUGGCGGCGCCGGCGUCUGUACACGCUGCUGUCGCGGGAGCGCUACGUGGCGCGCAUCUUCUCCGUCAUGCUGGGCCUGGACAUCGCCGAGAAGCUCUACGCCCUCAACAACAAGCUGUUCGUCAAGAGCGGCGUGCGGCUGGACAUCCGCCUGCCCAGCCUCUACCACGUGCUGCUGGCCCCCCCCACCGGGGCCUCGCGCAGCAGCGACGGCAGCGGGAACGGCCCCCCGGGCGGGCGGGGCUCCGGCAACGACGGGGCCGACCAGCGGCAGGGCUCGCUGGGAGACGACCCCACCACGGCCGACUACCAGAACUCCCAGAACUACUACAAGCAAGGCCCCAGGACCUCGUCCCAGGACGACCCCCAGGACGAAGAGCCCGAGCCCUGGGCCUCUGACGUGGCGCCCCACCCCGGUGAGGACUCCAGCAGUCUGGCUCUGGAGGACUUUGCUGACUUGGCGGGGUCCCUGAUGGACUAUGGCAAUGAGAGGGAUUAUUUGAGGUAGAAGGGAGAGAAGGGGGGCGAAGCUAACACACUGCGUCUCCUCUCCGGCCCCAUGAAGUGAUGACGCCGUAAACGACAGGCUCCGUCCUCCACGCUUCAGCCGGGGCCGUGCCCCUCUGGCCCCUACAGACACCCCCAAGCUGUGAGGUCGGCCGCUCUACCAUAGAGGGUUUGGGUUCGGAUGCCUCUAGCUGACCCUGUGCUGCUGGGCUGUCUUUCCUCUAGUCCUCCACCCACCACACUCCACCCUGACUGGGAUGCCAUUGUCUCCCUGUUUGUUUGUGGUCUUCAGCUUCUUUUUGAAAGUACUGACGCGAAUGAUGUCAUGAAAACAUUUGAUCACCCCGGAAACGGUUCGGGCUUCGAUGUCACCUUGUGCCGUUCACGUUUAACGUUGCAAUGUAUGACUUUCUGUUUCUGAUGGUUAAAGUAAGCACCUAGGUUAUACCAACAAUACCUUUAUUUGUGGACGGCAGAUGAGACGCAACGAAGGGUGUCGUUUUGUAGUAGCAUUAGUAAUAUUAGUUCUGCAUUCAGUAGCUCUUUACCUUUGUAUGUUUUGAAAAUACACUAAACAUGGGGUCCAUACCAUUUGAGUGUACAGAUCGUACCAUCUACUGCCUUGUAUAUACAUGGGGUCUGUACAAUCAAAACGUACAGAACAUACGAUCUUCUGCCAGGUAGAAACUUUCUUCCGGAUGGGAAUAACCUCUGCCUGAGAGCCCCCUUUUCACAACAUACUUUCUUUUUUUGUUUUAAUUCCACUUUCUAUAGAUGGACCAUCUGUAACCUCUUGUCUCCUGUAUCUUCCAUCAAUGCCUCACGUUUUACCGUAUGCCAACGACGAUACACAAUUGUAUACUGUGAACUGUGUGAUUUCUUCAGAGACCUGUGUACUGUUUAGAACAUAGAUUUACACGUGUUUCAACGGGGCCAAGAUUCCUACCUAUAAAGAACUUUGUGUGCAGUGAAGACACUGUUUAA